UGCCACAGCCAAAUCACCCUGCACAAGAACAGUUACUCACUGAAGCUAGGCAGGGCUGUGCCUGGUCAGUACCUAGAUAGAAGACCACAUGGCAAAACUAGGUUGUUGUUGGAA
rnacentral:rRNA from 1 species